rnacentral:rRNA from 1 species
AGAGUUUGAUCCUGGCUCAGAACGAACGCUGGCGGCAUGCCUAACACAUGCAAGUCGAACGAGAUCUUCGGGUCUAGUGGCGACACGGGUGCGUAACGCGUGGGAAUCUGCCCUUUGGUUCGGAAUAACAGUUGGAAACGACUGCUAAUACCGGAUGAUGACGAAAGUCCAAAGAUUUAUCGCCAGAGGAUGAGCCCGCGUAGGAUUAGCUAGUUGGUGUGGUAAAGGCGCACCAAGGCGACGAUCCUUAGCUGGUCUGAGAGGAUGAUCAGCCACACUGGGACUGAGACACGGCCCAGACUCCUACGGGAGGCAGCAGUGGGGAAUAUUGGACAAUGGGCGAAAGCCUGAUCCAGCAAUGCCGCGUGAGUGAUGAAGGCCUUAGGGUUGUAAAGCUCUUUUACCCGGGAUGAUAAUGACAGUACCGGGAGAAUAAGCUCCGGCUAACUCCGUGCCAGCAGCCGCGGUAAUACGGAG